rnacentral:ncRNA from 2 species
CCAAUAGCGUAUAUUAAAGUUGUUGCAGUUAAAAAGCUCGUAGUUGAAUUUCGGGGUUAGUAGGUUGGUCAUGCCUCUGGUAUGUACUGAUCUCACUGAUUCCUCCUUCCUUAUGAACCGUAAUGCCAUUAAUUUGGUGUUGCGGGGAAUUUGGACUGUUACUUUGAAAAAAUUAGAGUGUUUAAAGCAGGCUAACGCUUGAAUACAUUAGCAUGGAAUAAUGAAAUAGGACGUUCGAUCUUAUUUUGUUGGUUUCUAGGAUUGACGUAAUGAUUAAUAGGGAUAGUUGGGGGCAUUAGUAUUCAAUUGUCAGAGGUGAAAUUCUUGGAUUUAUUGAAGACUAACUACUGCGAAAGCAUUUGCCAAGGAUGUUUUCAUUAAUCAAGAACGAAAGUUAGGGGAUCGAAGACGAUCAGAUACCGUCGUAGUCUUAACCAUAAACUAUGCCGACUAGGGAUCGGAUGAUGUUAAUUUUUUAAUGACUCAUUCGGCGCCUUACG